rnacentral:rRNA from 1 species
AUGAACGCUAGCUACAGGCUUAACACAUGCAAGUCGAGGGGCAGCAUGGUCUUAGCUUGCUAAGACUGAUGGCGACCGGCGCACGGGUGAGUAACACGUAUCCAACCUGCCGUCUACUCUUGGACAGCCUUCUGAAAGGAAGAUUAAUACAAGAUGGCAUCAUGAGUCCACAUGUUCACAUGAUUAAAGGUAUUCCGGUAGACGAUGGGGAUGCGUUCCAUUAGAUAGUAGGCGGGGUAACGGCCCACCUAGUCUUCGAUGGAUAGGGGUUCUGAGAGGAAGGUCCCCCACAUUGGAACUGAGACACGGUCCAAACUCCUACGGGAGGCAGCAGUGAGGAAUAUUGGUCAAUGGGCGAGAGCCUGAACCAGCCAAGUAGCGUGAAGGAUGACUGCCCUAUGGGUUGUAAACUUCUUUUAUAAAGGAAUAAAGUCGGGUAUGCAUACCCGUUUGCAUGUACUUUAUGAAUAAGGAUCGGCUAACUCCGUGCCAGCAGCCGCGGUAAUACGGAGGAUCCGAGCGUUAUCCGGAUUUAUUGGGUUUAAAGGGAGCGUAGAUGGAUGUUUAAGUCAGUUGUGAAAGUUUGCGGCUCAACCGUAAAAUUGCAGUUGAUACUGGAUAUCUUGAGUGCAGUUGAGGCAGGCGGAAUUCGUGGUGUAGCGGUGAAAUGCUUAGAUAUCACGAAGAACUCCGAUUGCGAAGGCAGCCUGCUAAGCUGCAACUGACAUUGAGGCUCGAAAGUGUGGGUAUCAAACAGGAUUAGAUACCCUGGUAGUCCACACGGUAAACGAUGAAUACUCGCUGUUUGCGAUAUACAGCAAGCGGCCAAGCGAAAGCGUUAAGUAUUCCACCUGGGGAGUACGCCGGCAACGGUGAAACUCAAAGGAAUUGACGGGGGCCCGCACAAGCGGAGGAACAUGUGGUUUAAUUCGAUGAUACGCGAGGAACCUUACCCGGGCUUAAAUUGCAGAUGAAUUACGGUGAAAGCCGUAAGCCGCAAGGCAUCUGUGAAGGUGCUGCAUGGUUGUCGUCAGCUCGUGCCGUGAGGUGUCGGCUUAAGUGCCAUAACGAGCGCAACCCUUGUUGUCAGUUACUAACUGGUUCUGCUGAGGACUCUGACAAGACUGCCAUCGUAAGAUGUGAGGAAGGUGGGGAUGACGUCAAAUCAGCACGGCCCUUACGUCCGGGGCUACACACGUGUUACAAUGGGGGGUACAGAGGGCCGCUACCACGCGAGUGGAUGCCAAUCCCAAAAACCUCUCUCAGUUCGGACUGGAGUCUGCAACCCGACUCCACGAAGCUGGAUUCGCUAGUAAUCGCGCAUCAGCCACGGCGCGGUGAAUACGUUCCCGGGCCUUGUACACACCGCCCGUCAAGCCAUGGGAGCCGGGGGUACCUGAAGUGCGUAACCGCGAGGAGCGCCCUAGGGUAAAACUGGUGACUGGGGCU